AGUUCUCAAAAUUACUAUUUGGAUAUUAUUUGUGGAGUGAGGCUACUAUGUUUCUAUAAGUACGGAGUUUUCUGUGCUUUUAGGUCGUUUUUGAUAUUGAGAUUUUCGAAUUGACGAUCGGCUCCGUUAGACUUGAUCUAGAGUAUUUGAAGUACUUAGAAAAUAAAUUUUAUAAUUUUUCGAUAUCAUUUACCUAGUAAUCGAAGGGACUCAAAAUCAAUAAUUUUAAUGGCCAUGGUGAGCAGUUUGCAAGUUUAACGGUGUAGAAAUAUUCAAAUCGCGUAAAAUUUUGAUAGAAGAUUCUUUAUACUAUAUAAAAUCUUUGAUCUAAAAUUUUAAUGUUAUAUUAUCACGUUUUGUAAGAUUUUUAUUUCUAGUCGUUGAUUUGAGCCCCUUAGUUCACUAGACAAAUGAUAUCGAAAAAUUGCAAAAUUUAUUUUCUAGGUACUUCAAAUACUCUAGAUCAAGUUUAACUGAGUCGAUCGACGAUUCGAAAGUCGCAAUAUCAAAAAUAAUCUGAAAGCACGGAAGACUCCGUACUUCCAGAAGUAUAAUAACCUCACUCUUAUUUGUGAUAUGUUUUUAAAAACUUUUACUGGGCCCAUGGGCCCAUUAUUUUUUUUUUGUUUUAUUUUUUAAAUUUUUGAGAAAUAACUAAUAGAUGCAUGGGAAAUCACCACAGAAAUUUAUACAGCAGGGUAGACAACUGAAAGGAUAAAGCAGCAUAACAAACCUUUCGGCUUCCCCGUUCCGAUCUCUAUAAAUUAAUUUUGAAAUGAUUGUAAUUCAAAUGUAGACUACUUAUAUAGUUUCCAAUGGCGCAGAGGCCCGAGCCUAUCGACGUGGAAGCAUACGACCACCGGGUCCAAGACCCGGUCUACGAGAUCGUCCCCAACGACGACGAUGCGUUCGCCGAGGAUCUCCAGCUCCAGGAGAUCAUCAUGCUGUCGACCCAGCCCACUAGCACUAAUAACAAGGACGGCGAGCCCUCGAGCUCCCGGUCCGGGUCCCUCUGCGGGAUCUGUUGGAACACCGGGUGCACGCACUCCGUCUCGAUCGAACGGUCGCGAGGCGCCGAUCAAACCUUCCGCGUCGCCAUCACCGGCGACUUCGACAGCGAAGCGCUCACGAACCUCGUGAACGCCAUAUACGACGCCGCGCAUCGCCUCGCGGGGGAGAAGGGGAAGGGGAAGGAGAAGGUAGAAUUCGGAGAAUCGUCGUCGUGGCCGAUCGUGGUUGAGGAAGAGGUGGCGGCGCCGGAGUUCGACUGCGGGAUCUGCAUGGAGUCGCUGCCCAUCGCCGAGUCGUUCGGCGUCGAGAAUUGCUCGCACAUCUUCUGCGCCGAGUGCGUCGGCAGCUACAUCGCGGCCAAGGUGGAGGAGAACGUGAUUUAUAUCCGCUGCCCCGAUCCGGAGUGCCGGGACGGGUUUCUGGAGCCGGAGCUGUGCCGGGGGAUCAUCCGGCUCGAGGUUUUCGACCGGUGGGGGCUCGCGCUCUGCGAGGCGGCGGUCGGGGCGGAGAAAUUCUACUGCCCGUACAACGACUGCUCGCGACUGCUGAUCGGCGAUGGCGAUGGCGAUGGCAAAGGCGGCGACGCGGGCGCGAUAACGGAUGCGGAGUGCCCGCACUGCCUCAGGAUCUUCUGCGCGCAGUGCAGGGUGCCGUGGCACGAGGGGGUCACGUGCAAGGAGUACCGGAGUCUCGGGAAGGACGAGAGGAGCCAGGAGGACCUGAUGCUCCGGCGGCUCGCGGCCAACAAGAAGUGGCAGCGCUGCCCGCAAUGCAAGAUGUUCGUCGAGAGGAUCGACGGGUGCAUGUUCAUGACCUGCAGGUACGUAGCUAAACCACAUCAUCUUUGUCAAUUUGUGAGUAAAAUGAUCAUUAAAUUAACUCAUUAGUAUUUUUUUUUCCAAGUAAUUGACCAAGAUUUAAUGCGGUGUAGAAUGUUUAAUGGUUAUUUUGGAAAGCUAAUGGUAGAGUUAAUGGUUUUUUAACUUGAUAAAAUAGAGUGAGAGUUUUAAGUGGGGUAUAUCAUGAUAAUUAUGUCAAAUUAGAUUAAUGUAUAGAUCAUCAAUUUCCCCACUUCCAAUAAUAAAAAUCAAUUUUAGUGCACUAAACUUAUCACAAUCUUAUUUUCCUUUUAAGUUGUUUCAAAUUUCAAUCCUUACUAAGGGGUAAGAUUUAUUCAUCAUUUUUGAAUCUAUAAAUAGUUUUUUUUUUUUCCCCUGAAAAAUAUAGAUAUGAUGAUCUAAGUAAGAUUCGCCUUUAUAUACCUAACACUAGAGAAGCAUCCCAAAGUGCAAAUACUCAACCUUCUCCCAUUGGAAGAGUAGUGGCUUUACAAAUCAGCAAAAAUGCUCUUUAAAUUUAUCUAUUAAUAUUAUACGUAGUAAUCAUAGUCAACAAGUCAAUAGCUUAGUCCAUAAUCUGUUAUUUUUAUCUUUCUUCCUACUCAUUGCUUGGUACCUUCUUGUACUUAUAAUGCUUCGAAACUAAGAAAUCCAUUUUUAGUAUGAAUACAGGGACUGCCACUUUUUUCAAAAUGAUGAUAUUUUAAGGUGAAAACGUGGAAUUUAUGUGAACUACAGGCUAUUUUAAAUUGACUAUCCAACUUUUUAAUUUAUUUAAUUUGAAUCAGUUAAUAAUAUUUUUGAUUUCAAAAUUUAAGCUAAUUACUUUACUGAUUUAAUAGUUACCAAAAAUUAUGUGAAGUAUACUAACUAAAUUUGUGAAGAUAAUUGACGCAUUAAAAUUUAAAGCCUAAGUGCUGAUAACUGAUUCAAAUCAAAUAAAUUAAAAGAUUAGAUAGUAAAUAAAUUUUAUGAAAAGUUAGGAGGUAUAAAUUAAAAUAAUUCAUAGUUUAAGUAAGUUUUGUACGUUUUUACACCGUAUAUUGAUUUAGCCCAUGCAAAAGUAUCCAUGUUCAGUUUCUUCUUGUGAAUUUUGUUUGAUACUGUGACCAAGAUCAAAUAAUAAGGCCUUAGAAUCAUCAUCUCGGCGCACAAAUUAAGAAGCACAUAGAAUGAAAAUAAAUUGCAUGUCCAGCAAUAAAUAAAGGUAGGAGAAUAUGAUUGUGUGCAUUACUUUGGUAAAUUCAUGGAUCCUAUUUGGACCUGAGCCAAUACCCUUAUGCCUAUAAAUGUUUGAUACAUUUUCUCCUGAUCAAGUGCAUGCAGCAAAGCAAUAUGCAGAAACAUAGUGUCUACAUUCAUGUUUGUUCUACAAUGUAUUAAAGAUUUCAUAUCAUGAAUACAUGAUUUAACUCACAGAUCAUGCAUUGCUAUAGAGUUUCAGAGCCCUACUAAUCCUUCAUUUGCUUUUUGAUUUGAAGAUGUGGAUAUUGCUUCUGCUACGCCUGCGCGUCUCCGAUGUCGAAGACAAGCCAUUACUGUGCCAAGUGUAAACGCUAAUUUGGAGAUCCAAAGGUCGAAAGUUUUAACAAAAACUAUCAAACUUUAUUUGAUUUUUUUUUCCCUUGCCCCUCUCUGCAAGUACAAAAUAUUUAAUGUUAUCAGUUACCUUAGCCUUGUAAGUAUAUUCGAUUGUUAAAGUUUUGGAUUUUUUUUAAGAUGGUUUGCACAGAGUGGGGGCUUCCUAUUUAACUUUUCCUAUAGAAGUUUCAUUUUGUUUUCUUCAAGCAUGCAUGUUUAUGCUAUCCAAAUUGAGGAAUGAGUGUAGCAAUGUGUGUUGGAUCCUUGAACUUCUAGUUCAUGAAGCUAAAUGACUCCAAAUAAAUAAUUCUGAGUAAUUGCUCGUUUUGAGUUUUUGAUUUGGUUUUUUUUUUUUUUUUGACAUGGGUGCUUGAAUUGAGCCACUUUAGGGUAAAAAAGGUUUUUGAUUUGGGUUUUGCGUCCACUAAUACAUCUAUGAAGAUCCAGAUGGUUUAUUGGCCCUGCAUAGCAGCUCUUCUUUUUUUAUUUUGAGAGAUAGGUAGCAUGUUUACCCGAUUCGUUUAUUUCAUUUAGAAAUAAAUUUAGCUGGAAAUGUGAAUCAACUAGGAUUCGAACUUGGGACCUCGGGUACCAACCAUCAAGCCCUUUGACACUUGUUCUAGGGACGGUCGGUAACUGAUUAAAAACUUGAUAAGCUUUUGCUAUGGCAGUAGAGUUCCCAAAAAAAAAAAAAAAAAAUUCUAGCUUCUAGUUUUACAAUAAAAUUAAAAAUAAAAAGAAAACUGAAUUUCCAAUAAAAAUAAAAAGAAAAGUACUCGAGGAAUCUUCCUGGACUUACACUAUUUUUCUUUUUGUGCAUGGAUCUUUCCACACUUUCCCACUUUCUAAAAAGCAGAACAAACUAUUAUCUGGAUCCACCAUAAGAAAUUUGGAAAAGCAAAAUUACUAUUUUUUUUAGUUAAAUCUAGUAACCAAAUAGAUAAAAAGUAUUCCUUCGAUUCUUCGAAAAACUGUGAGAAAAAACUUUUAAGAAAUUUUUUUUUCAUGAAAACUUAUUUUUUAGUUUUCGCCCUUUUAGUUUUUUUUAAGAAUAAGCCUUUAUAAUUUUUCUAUAUUAUAUAGAGAACUAAUAUUUUUACUUUUCUAAAAAAAUCAGAAAAACGAAACUGCUAGUUUUCAUGAAAUAUGAAUAAAGUUUUCAAAAGUUCUUAUUUUCCUUCAAUCAAAUGGGCAAAAAAAAAAAAAACAAAAAAAAGGGCAAAAAAUUAGAAAGAAAGAAAAAAUUCACCACACUUUUCGGGGGACCAAACCAACCCCUCAGAGAGAAAACUAUUAUUUAGGAUAUAAUUUUUUAAAACUUUUACUGUGGUCAUGGACUCAUCGGCCCAUUAAUCCUUUUUUGUUUUAUUUUUUUAAAUUUUGAGAAAUAACUAAAUGAUGAUGCAUGGGAAAAUGGAGAAAACUGAGAAGGUAAAGCAGCAUAACAAACCUUUCGACUUCCCCGUUCCGAUCUCUAUAAAUUAAUUUUGAAAUAAUUGUAAUUCAAAUAUCUACUUCUUAUAUAGUUUCCAAUGGCGCAGACGCCCGAGCCUAUCGACGUGGAAGCAUACGACCACGGGGUCCUCGUGGAUGCCAAAGACCCGGUCUACGAGAUCGUCCCCGACGACGACCGUGUGUACGCCGAGGAUCUCCAGCUCCAGGAAAUCAUCAUGCAGUCGACCCAGCCCACUAGCACUAAUAACAAGGACGGCGAGCCCUCGUGCUCCCGGUCCAGGUCCCUCUGCGGGAUCUGUUCGGGCACCGGGUGCACGCACUCCGUCUCGAUCGAACGGUUGCGAGGCGCCGAUCAAAUCUUCCGCGUCGCCAUCACCGGCGACUUCGACGGCGAAGCGCUCAUGAAGCUCGUGAACGCCAUAUACGACGCCGCGCAUCGCCCCGCGGGGGAGAAGGGGAAGGAGAAGCUACAAUUCGGAGAAUCGGCGUCGCUGCCGAUCGCGGUCGAGGAGGAGGAGGAGGCGACGGAGUUCCACUGCGGGAUCUGCAUGGAGUCGCGGCCCAUCGCCGAGCGGUUCGGCGUCGAGAAUUGCUCGCACAUUUUCUGCGCCGGGUGCGUCGGCCGCUAUGUCGCUGCCAAGGUGGAGGAGAGCGUGAUUUAUAUCCGCUGCCCCGAGCCGGAGUGCCGGGACGGGGUUCUGGAGCCGGAGCCGUGCCGGCGGAUCAUCCCGCGCGAGGUUUUCGACCGCUGGGGGCUCGCGCUCUGCGAGGCGGCGGUCGGGGACAAGAAAUUCUACUGCCCGUACAACGACUGCUCGGUAUUGCUGAUCGACGAUGGCGAAGGCGGCGACGCGGGUGCGAUAACGGAUGCGGAGUGCCCGCACUGCCACCGGAUGUUCUGCGCGCAGUGCAGGGUGCCGUGGCACGGCGGGGUGGCGUGCGAGGAGUUUCGGAGUCUGGGGGAGGACGAGAGGGGGCGGGAGGACCUGAUGCUCAGGCGGCUCGCGGCCGACGCGCGGUGGCAGCGCUGCCCGCAAUGCAAGAUGUUCGUCGAGAAGACCGGCGGGUGUAUUCUCAUGAGCUGCAGGUAGGUAGCUAAGCCACAUCAUCUUCGUAUAUUAAUUCAGUAGUAUAUUUUCAUUCUUAUCAGAUAUUUUUGCAUUUUUGCAAGGUUUUAUAUUUAUAGAGAAAUUGAAUAUAUAUAUAUAUAUAUAUAUAUAUAUAUCAGUAAUUGGCCAAGAUUUAAUGCAGUGUAGAAUGUUUAACGGUGAUUUUGGAAAAUUAAUUAAUGGUAGAGUACGUAAAUGAUUUUUUUCCUUGAUAAAAUAGAGUGAGAGUUUUUAAGUAGGGUAUGUCACGAUAAUUAUGUCAAACUAGAUUAAUGUAUACAUCAUCAAUUUCGGUAGUUUAAUAAGAAAUUCGAUAAAUGAUUUUUAGAAUUUACUUACGUGUGUAUAACUGUAUAUAUAUACAUACAUUAUUUAAAGCAUCAAUUAUUAGCUUCAAGAGGAAGCAUUGAUGACUUUUUUGGGUUAAGGAAGGAACUUGGAGUCAAUGGUAGUCAACUAAAUUAGGAGGAAACUUAGCAUCUUUCCCCACUUCCAAUAAUAAAAUUCAAUUGUAGCGCACUAAACUUAUCACAAUCUUAUUUUCCUUUUAAGUUGUUUCAAUCCUUACUGAGUAGGGUGUGAGCUUUAUUCAUCACUUUUGGGUCUACAAAUAAUACUCUUCUUUUUCUUAAUAAUAUAUAGAGAUCGAUGAUGAUCUUGUAAGAUUCGCCUUUAUCUGACACUAGAGAAGCAUCCCAAAGAGCGAACACUCAACCUUCUCCCAUUGGAGGAGUAGUGGCUUUACUAAUCAGCAAAAAUGCUCUUUAAAUUUAUCUAUUAAUAUUCUACGUAGUAAUCAUAGUCAACAAGUCAAUUGCUUAGUCCAUAUAUAAUCUGUUAUUUUUAUUCUUCCUCAAAGCUAUUCAUUGCUUGGUAACUUCUUGUACUUAUAAUAAUGCUUCAAAACUAAGAAAUCCUUUUUUAGCAUGAAUACAGGGACUGCCACUUUUUUCAAACUGAUAUUUUAAGGUAAAAAUGUAUGAAAUUUAUUUUAUCUAUAAACUAUUUUGAUCGACUAUCAAAAUUAUAAUUUUACUAUCGAAGUUUUCAAUUUGUUUGAUUUGAGUCGGUAACGAUACUUUUGAUUUCAAAAUUUAAGCUAAUUAUUUUACUAAUUUAAUAGUUGCAAAAAUUAUAUGAAAUAUAUAUACUAACUAAAUUUGCAAAGAUAACCGACGCGUUCAAAAUUUAAAGCCUAAGUGUUGUUGACUGAUUCAAAUUAAACGAAUUAAAAGGUUAGAUAGUAAAUAAAUUUUAUGAAAAGUUAGGUAUAAAUCAAAAUAAUUCAUAAUUCAAAUAAGUUUUGUACGUUUUUACUGUAUAUUGAUGUAGCACAUGAAAAAGUAUCCAUGUUCAGUUUCUUCUUGUGAAUUUUUUUUGAUACUGUGACCAAGAUCAAAUAAUAAGGCCUUAGAAUCGUCAUCUCGGUAUACAAAUUAAGAAGCACAUAGAAAGAAAAUAAAUUGUCUAGCAAUAAAUAAAGGUUGGAGAAUAUGAUUGUGUGCAUUACUUUGGUAAAUUCAUGGAUCCUAUUUGGACCUGAGCCAACACCCUAUGUCUAUAAAUGUUUGAUACAUUUUUCUCCUGAUCAUCAAGUGCAGCAAAGCAAUAUGCAUAAACAUAGUUUCUACACUCAUGUUUGUUCUACAAUGUUUUACAUCAUGAAUACAUGAUUUAACUCACAGAUCAUGCAUUGCUAUAGAGUUUCAGAGCCCACUAAUCCUUCAUUUGCCUUUUGAUUUGAAGAUGUGGAUAUUGCUUCUGCUACACUUGCGCGUCUCCAAUGUCGACGGCUAGCCAUUACUGUUCCAAGUGUAAACGCUAAUUUGGAGAUCCAAAGGUGUUUCGAUAUAUUUAGUAUCUCAUGGUAUAUUACGAUCCUCUAUAUUAUUAUCAUAUAUAGAGUAGAAUUAUAUAAUAUGCAAUCAUAAUUGUAAUAAUAUUAUAGUAGGCAAUGUUACUAUAAUAGACCUAUAUCUCUUUUACUAUAUAUUUUCAUCAGUUCAAUCCAAGAGGGUAUGCUUUUUUGCCCUUCUUAAAAAAAGAUCCCAAGUUUUAACAAAAACUAUCAAACUUUAUUUGGUUUUUUUUUUUUCCUUACCCCCUCUCUGCAGGUACAAAAUUUUUACUGUUAUCAGUUACCUUAGCGUUGUAAGUAUAUUCGAUUGUUAAAGUUUUGGAUUUUAUUUAAAAUGGUUUGUACAAAAGGGGGGCUUCCUAUUUAACUUUUUCUAUAGAAGUUUCAUUUUGUUUUCUUCAAUCAUGUUUAUGCUAAUCCAAAUUGAGGAAUAAGUGUAGCAAUGUGUGUGUUGGAUCCUUGAACUUCUAGUUCAUGAAGCUAAAUGACUCCAAAUAAAUAAUUCUGAGUAAUUGCUCGUUUUGAGUUUUUGAUUUGGCUUCUUUUUUUUUUUACAUGGGUGUUUGAAUUGAGCCACUUUAGGGUAAAUUAGGUUUUUGAUUUGGGUUUUUGCGUCCACUAAUACAUCUAUGAAGACCCAGGUGCUUUAUUGCCCCCUGCAUAGUAGCUUCUUUAUUGCAGCGGAUAGAAACAUUCAGAAAAGCAGACAUUUACAGAUUAAAACUUGACAAGCUUUUGCCACGGCAGAAGUUGAAAAUGCAUUUGUUCCAAAAGAAGAAGCUCUAAUGUAGCAUCUAGUUUUACUUCAAUGGAAUCUCUCGGAAAAAGCAUCUGCAUCUUUUCUGGCGCUCAAAAUUGAAGCUUCUGAUUUGGGUACUAAAAAUCCAUUUCAAUUCUGACUGCAUCGGAAGUCGAAAGCAAAAGCAGAAACGAUACCAAACAGAGACAUUGAAGAUAUUUAUCAGUCCAAAAUAAAUAAAGAAGUGCCACUUGCAGUGUAAAAGGAUAAAUACAGCCCUGCACUGCAACUUCUGAAUGAGAUAAGGUUACAGGGGCAAGUUGGUUGCAGAAAAGUCUAAACAAGCACACCAGAAUAGUUUCAUCUCAACAUCCUCAUAAUGUAGGUUCAUUGCAUUUGGAGAUAGGAUAACAAAAAGAAGAUCACAAACAACCAAAGAUGUACCACUUUUUAUAAUGCUUCAUUUACUUUAGCCUAACUUUGCCUACAAAAUGGGCCCAGAAAAUGAAAUAAAGAUGGGUCCCCAGUGCAAAGUCUUGAUUAUCUUAUCAUAUUUCCGUACAAGGCCACAUAAGUUCACUGACCACUAAUCAAGAUAUAGAAUAAUAAUAAACGCGCAAACCAAGUCAUUAUUCGGCUAAUGUUCAGUGGCCAAGUUAGGUUAAUUUGGACACAUGAAGUUUCAUGUCAAGUUUAUCGAAUCAAUUUGUGCUGUCAAAUCAUAAGAUAACCUAAUGACACCCUAAAAGACAAUUCCGACAAUGUUUUCGCAUAGCUGAUAUUUAAGAAUAAAAAAGAAACGUUUCAGCAGAGGAAAACACAGAUUGUUCAAUGAACCAAAUUGGCCGCCUUCGCUUUCUAUCUACUACGUAAAUUCUAAGAGAUCUAAAAAAAGAUUGCUCUGCAGGAAUAUUUUCACAAGCAUCUUAUAAAGCAAUAAUAGAGAUGCAUACAUCCAAAAGCAGUUUCUCAAUCGGUCCACAAGAAACCAAAACAGAAAAGGAACCAAUUCCAGGACAAUCCAAGGGAGUACAAACCAGAAACAAAGUACUUAAAAGAUGAUACAUAAUCAAAGUUCCACAUGAUUCAUGAUUCCUCAUACUAACCUCCAUUGUUCUCCGUCUCACCAUCGGCAUUCCUGAAAAGAAAACGAGUGGGGGAAAAAAAAGAAAAAAAACUUAUCAACAGUUUGACGAAUGAAGUCUAGAAAUUUUGUUGUGUCGAAAGCUGAAAAUAAGCUUUUGAGCUAGCUUCAAAAGUAGCAGCUCUAAUUCGAAACUUCUACUUGAGAAGCUAUUCACAGAUUUUUCCCAAGAAGGCUUACUUAAAAUACUGGUAUGGCAUUCCAUAGAAGCACCAAAUGGCACCCAACGGACAUAUAGCUCCAUUUUAAGAAUACAGAAAAAGAACUAAAAAAAGAGAUUUCUUACGCUUAUUUACAGAACGCUAAUUGACAGAACCCAUGAUCCUUCAGUAAACACUGCUGAGAGUGCGCAGGUCAUCGAAGCCCCAAAGAUUGGCAUCAGUCACUAUAUCCUGAGUCACAUCGUUACUAAGAAUGCUGCCGAUUGAAUCAUCUGAGCUCUCCUCAAAAUAAGGCAGUUGCAGAAGCUUGAUGUAUGAUUCAAAUGCAUUUGUAUCCUCAAAGAGUUUUACCGAUAUGUUCGCCUCAUUGACAGGCACAGCCUCGCCAAUACUACUCUUCAUUUUCUCUGCCUCAUUCUCCCAGUCAUAGUAUGAAUCAAAAGAGUUACUUCCAACAUCGGAUAAUGGUGGUGAAACAGGUUUUAUUGCAGCGAAGCUGCUUGGGUUCUCAGAUAGCUCAAUGAUCGGCGCCUUUUCUUCGAUGAAGUCGAAAGUCGAGAAAAAGCAGCUAUUUGGGUCAUUUGGAUGAUUUAAAGCCGGAUUGAGGUUAAGCUUCUCUGGCGGAACCAAGUUGGAUGAGCUUAUGCCAGUAGGUUUUGGAGAGCACUUUUGGGCACUUGAGGGUGACUCAUCAGGAAAGUUCACCUUGGCUUUCUUGCCACGGAUCCGACGCGCUUCUGCAUCGUAGGCCCUCGCAGCUUCCUCAGGAGUGUUGUAUGUUCCUAGCCAAACACGGACGCCUUUGCGAGGAUCUCUUAUUUCAGCAGCCCACUUACCCCACGGGCGUCGGCGAAUCCCUCUGUAUUGGUUCUUCCGCUUCCUUUUGGCCGAUUUAGCAGCAGGCCUAUGGUACUCAACUGCUUUCAGAGCAGCUGGUGCAUCUACAAUCCAACAACAACACAGCUACAAAUUAAUCAAAAGCUUUAGAGGGGAAAAAAAAGCCAAAUUUUGGAUAAAAAUGAACCCUUUUUUUUUUUUUUUUUUCUUUCUCUUCUCUCAACACCAUUAAAUCAACAUAUGAAUGCUAAUAUAUCUCUAAAACAAACCAUGUUCGAUUGCGCAUUUUGAGUUGUUUCUUCUUGCGACAUUGGUAACAACUUCUCAAUCCAUAACAAAGCCCAACUAGAGGGAAUCACAACUUUAGAAACACAAACCCAUUCCCCAUUAAACCAGUAAAGUCUAAAACAUUAGUGAAAACAAAUAUUUCAGCUCACACACAAAAAAAGUUUCAAUCUUUUGAUUUUUUAAAGGAGUACAACUCAGGAGAAGCAACGCCCUUUUAUGGACGUAUAAUAAUAGGAGGAAAAAAGAGAGAGGAAAAGAUAUAUAUAAAUAAAAAACAAAGAUACUAAAGAUCUGAUUUUUUUUUUUUUUUUUUCAUGUUAGCAUGUGUUCCGAUCUUUCCUAACGCCAUUUUAUGAUCUAUAAGAGGAGGAAAAUAUGGGGAAAAUGGUACAAAUGCCACAAAAAAUGGAAAAUAUAUUAAGAAAUAGCACUAAAAACCCCCUUUUUUUUUCAUGUGGGCACCUCGGAAAAAGGGGGAUUUAUACGCAGAAAACUCCAAUCUUUUCUCACUGCGGAUAACUCAGUAGAAGCUACGCCCUGUUACAAUAAUCUAUAACAAUGGAAGGGGAAAAAAAGGGAAAAAUUCCAAAAAUAUACUAAAAAACAAAAACAAUCCAACCUUUUUCAAUGUAUAUGAUCUAUAAUGCGAGGGAAAAAGAAAAAAAAGGAAAAAAUCUAAAAAGAAAAAAAAUACAUGGAUACCUCGUAAAAAUGGGGCUUUGAAAGUGUCGACGAAGAAUGGCUCGUCCUCCGAGACCUCGCCGGGCUCGUCCUCGAACUCGGCAAAGUCGGCAUCGAAGUCGAAGUCGAAGUCGGCGUCAAAGCCGAAGUCGGCGCCGACUUCGGCCGGGUAAUGCUUCUUCCCCUCCUUCUGAGUCGUCUUCUUAAGACCCGGCCACAUAAAGUCGGCGUUGGUGAGGCCCCGCGACUGCGCCGCGGGGACGUAACCGGAGAUUAUCGCUCCGCCACACAUUUUUGCAAUAGUAUACAACAGGAGUAGUAAUUAUAAUGAAAGAGAGAGAGAGAGAGAGAGAGAGAGAGAGAGAGGCUUCUUAAUUUGAGGAGGAGAAAGGUAGGUUGGGCUGGGGUUUUAUAGUACUUUGGCUUUGAGAGAGAGAGAGAGAGAGAGAGAGAGAGAGAGUGUAGCCUUAUAAAAGAUGUACAUCUUACACUCUUUUCUUCUAAAAUUAUUAUAUUUUUUUUCAUCUUACACUCUUUUCUUCUAAAAUUAUUAUAUAUUUUUUUACAAUUUUAGUAGAAAAAAUUGAUAAAAUUAACGAACUAAUAUUAGGAGUAAAAUUUACAUCCAAAGAGUUAGAUGUAUAAAUAGUAUUGCUCUUUAAGCAUACAGGAGAAAGCAAGAUAAGUGCUUUUGAUCACUUAAAAGUAAAUAUAUAUAUAUCAGUGUUUUGUAAAUUGCUUGCAUAAAUGAUUCAGAUCCUUGCCUUCAUGUACGUUUAUGAAUAACCUACUUAUAAAGAUAUAAUUAUAAAGAUUUAUAGCAGUACUCAGAUAGUAGUAUGAUUACAAGUGAAAUAUUUAUUAGAAUAUUGUCUUUACAAUGAAAUAUUUAGAAUAUUGUCAUUACAAUUAUUAUUAUUUUUUAGAAAGACAUGCAGGGGAGUGAGGAUCAUUCUUUUGUUUUACUUGAUAAAAAAAUCAGUUUCGCAUCAAGCUCACCGAAUACUACUGUGCAAGCAAAACAAGGUUGGAAAAAAAAAAAUUUCUGUGUGAGACUAUACAGAAUAUAUGAUAAUUAAUUUAUUAUGAUACACAGAGCAUAAUAUUAUAUAAAAAAUAAAAAAAAAUUUUAUUAUUUUUUACUAUAUGUAAUGUAAUCUUUUUAUCAUUUCAAACGGAACACAUUAUAGUGGGUGGCCUUCCUGUAUCAGUAGAGAGAAAGUCUACUGUAACAUAUUUGUACCAUCAAUAACAAGUCAGUUAUUUAAAAAAAAAUAACAAAAAUAUUUUUUAAUUUAUCAUAAUAGGACGUAUCAACCCAUGGGAGGUAAUAUAUUCUAUUAGUUGGAGAUGCCACGUCAGUAAUAUAUCCGGUAGAUUCGAAUUUUGUUUCAUUC
rnacentral:lncRNA from 1 species